GGCGGGCGGCGAGGGAGAGUCAUGCCAUUCGCCGGGGGCUCGGUGCGGGGACCGCGGGCGAGGCGCCCCCAGCCGCCGCCGAGCACCCAACGCGUUUGACAGCUGCUCGGCAAAACACCGGCCGGCAGCCGUCGCUGCGGGGGAUGCGGGGCGCGGGUGUGGGUUGCCCCCCUCAGGGCGACAAGUUGCGGCCCGCGGCCGGAGCCACGCAACGAAGAGGCGCUGCUUUCAGCCGUAGGGGCGAGGGGUUGCGUUCCUUGCCUUGCGUUGCCUUUCAGAGCACGUCGCCCUCCUUCCCUGUACCCCGGGCCUUCGCCGGUAGGAGCCGGACAGCAGCUGGGAUUCAUUCCCGUUGACGUUAGGUUUUCUAGCACAAGUAGAUCAGGACAGGCUUGGCAAUUAAAGGUUUAUAUUUAGUCUACUCCCAUUUUGCAUUGUUCUCUCGGAAACACAAUCGUUUCGGUUGGAAAAGACAUUUUCAGAUCAUCAGCUCCAGCCAUUAAAUAAAUCCCUAACAGCAGUGAAAGAA